rnacentral:rRNA from 1 species
UGGGGAAUAUUGCACAAUGGGCGAAAGCCUGAUGCAGCAACGCCGCGUGAGUGAUGAAGGCCUUCGGGUCGUAAAACUCUGUCCUCAAGGAAGAUAAUGACGGUACUUGAGGAGGAAGCCCCGGCUAACUACGUGCCAGCAGCCGCGGUAAUACGUAGGGGGCUAGCGUUAUCCGGAUUUACUGGGCGUAAAGGGUGCGUAGGCGGUCUUUCAAGUCAGGAGUGAAAGGCUACGGCUCAACCGUAGUAAGCUCUUGAAACUGGGAGACUUGAGUGCAGGAGAG